AUACGGGGGGUGCAAGCGUUAUCCGGAAUCAUUGGGUUUAAAGGGUCCGUAGGCGGAUUGGUAAGUCAGUGGUGAAAGUCUGCAGCUUAACUGUAGAAUUGCCAUUGAUACUGCUAGUCUUGAAUUACUGUGAAGUGAUUAGAAUGUGUAGUGUAGCGGUGAAAUGCAUAGAUAUUACACAGAAUACCAAUUGCGAAGGCAGAUCACUAACAGUAUAUUGACGCUGAGGGACGAAAGCGUGGGGAGCGAACAGGAUUAGAUACCCUAGUAGUCC
rnacentral:rRNA from 1 species